GUUUAUCUGCCGAGUUUGCCUUUCGGCAAACGUCGCAUUAUUGUAUGCAGUUUGUAAACAAACUGCGUGAAAAAACUUUUUUCGCAAAUUGAUAUUUGCUGCAAAAAGUUUUUAUGGGA
rfam:Treponema denticola ATCC 35405, complete genome.